rnacentral:snRNA from 1 species
AUAUAUUUUGUAAAAAAAAAAAAAAAAAAAUCUGUUCUUAUCAGUUUAAUAUCUGAUACGUCCCCUAUCUGGGGACCAUAUAUUAAAUGAUUUUUUGGAAUAGGGAGAUGGAAUAGGGGCUUGCUCCGUCCCUCCACGCAUCGACCUGGUAUUGCAGUACCUCCGGAACGGUGCACCCCCC